UAAUACGUAGGAGGCAAGCGUUAUCCGGAUUUAUUGGGCGUAAAGCGCGUGUAGGCGGCUUUUCAAGUCGGAUGUAAAAUCUCCCGGCUCAACUGGGAGAGCCCAUUCGAUACUGCUUGGCUAGAGUGCAGCAGAGGGAGGUGGAAUUCCCGGUGUAGUGGUGAAAUGCGUAGAUAUCGGGAGGAACACCAGUGGCGAAGGCGGCCUCCUGGGCUGCAACUGACGCUGAGACGCUAAAGCGUGGGGAGCGAACAGGAUUAGAUACCCUGGUAGUCCACGCCGUAAACGAUGGACACUAGGUAUGGGGAGUAUCGACCCUCUCCGUGCCGUAGCUAACGCAUUAAGUGUCCCGCCUGGGGAGUACGGCCGCAAGGCUA
rnacentral:rRNA from 1 species